UUGAAUUGAAGAGUUUGAUCAUGGCUCAGAUUGAACGCUGGCGGCAGGCUUAACACAUGCAAGUCGAACGGUAGCAGGAAGAAAGCUUGCUUUCUUUGCUGACGAGUGGCGGACGGGUGAGUAAUGCUUGGGAAUCUGGCUUAUGGAGGGGGAUAACUGUGGGAAACUGCAGCUAAUACCGCGUAUUCUCUGAGGAGGAAAGGGUGGGACCUUAGGGCCACCUGCCAUAAGAUGAGCCCAAGUGGGAUUAGGUAGUUGGUGGGG
rnacentral:rRNA from 1 species